rnacentral:rRNA from 1 species
GGAUGAACGCUGGCGGCGCGCUUAACACAUGCAAGUCGAGCGAGAACCGGGCCUUCGGGCCUGGGGAAAGCGGCGAACGGGUGAGUAACACGUGGGCAACCCACCCUUGGUAUCCGGAUAGCCCGAGGAAACUCGGAUUAAUACGGAAUGGCCCAACAGCUCUUCGGGGCGGUUGGAAAAGGUAGCUUCGGCCUCCGACCAAGGACGGGCCCGCGGUGGAUUAGCUUGUUGGGUGGGGUAAUGGCCUACCAAGGCGACGANCCAUAGCUGGUCUGAGAGGACGACCAGCCACACUGGAACUGAGACACGGUCCAGACUCCUACGGGAGGCAGCAGUGGGGUAAUUUUGGACAAUGGGCGCAAGCCUGAUCCAGCAAUGCCGCGUGAGUGAAGAAGGCC